rnacentral:tRNA from 1 species
AGAAGCAUAGCUCAGCUGGUUAGAGCACCGCUCUGAUAAGGCGGGGGUCGGUGGUUCAAGUCCACUUGCGUCUACCA